UACGUAGGGGGCGAGCGUUGUCCGGAUUUAUUGGGCGUAAAGAGCUCGUAGGCGGCUCGGUAAGUCAGGUGUGAAAACUCUAGGCUCAACCUAGAGACGCCACCUGAUACUGCCGUGGCUAGAGUCCGGUAGGGGAGCAUGGAAUUCCUGGUGUAGCGGUGAAAUGCGCAGAUAUCAGGAGGAACACCGAUGGCGAAGGCAGGUCUCUGGGCCGAUACUGACGCUGAGGAGCGAAAGCGUGGGGAGCGAACAGG
rnacentral:rRNA from 1 species